UAUGUACACAAUGUUACUUGAGCAAUUAUUUAAAUGAAUGUGCAAUAAUGAAAAUUUACCCACAACGAUGGUGGUCUAAUUAGGAAUGGUUAAUGGAACAUGGCUUGGAGGGUGUUUAUGUUUUAUUCUAGUAAUUUUUUUAGCAUAUGAACUAUAUGAAAGGAUGCUUAUGAGUGUAGCAUUUCUUUGUAGCAAAAAUGGAUAAGGGGAAAUCGAAGGAUGCUGAACAAAAAGAUGAGCGAACAGAGUGGAAAGAUCCAAUAGAACUAAAAGCCUCUUGUGAUUUGUGUGCUACUCAAGUUCUAGCAGGCAAUAAGAGUGGAGGAUCUUUGAAAAAGGAAGGGUAUGAUGAAGUGAUAAAGUAGUUGAAUGAAAUGAACAAAGUGGUGACUCACUUGCAAGUUAAAAACAAAUGGGAUCAUCUGAGAAGCUAAUGGAAGGUAUGGAAGUAGCUUUUUAAGCAUGAGACUAGGUUGGGUUAUGAUCCUGACACUAGGAAGAUUGAUGCAAGUGAUGAAUGGUGAGAAAGAAAGCUUAAGGAAAGUCCAAAAGCAAAACCGUUUCGUAAAAGGUUUUGCCGAAUGCUACUUCCAUGGAAAUCAUGUUUGAAGGCACAGUUGCAACGGGAAAACAUGCAUGGAUCCCAAGUGGUCAAAUACCAAAGGAAAGCACCAAAGGUUCUGGGGACUCCUCUGAUAGCAAAGAAUUUGUUAACCCCCAAUGUCAAUCCCCUGUGGAUGUUGACCCAAUGGAUGUUGAAUGCCCAUUAUUGGCAAGAAAUGUCCAACUCUUCAAAGGAAUUCACAAGAAGCGUGGUAAAAAGUGUUCAGUUGUGCAAGAAAUGUCCGACUUUUUGAAGAGCAUGACAGAUGUUAUCAUUGAAAGUAAAAGUGUAAGUAGUCCUGCACCAUUUACUUCUAUAACAGCUAUUGAGGUUCAAGCAGUUAUGGACAUGGUGUUGAGUCUUCAUAGGUUGUAAUCGGGUGAUCACCUCCAUAUGUUCAGCUCCAUAUUUUUCAUGGAAAAUCAAAAUGUGAUGCACAUGUUUGCAGCAAAUAGGCAUGAUAAAAUGUUCCAGUUGCUGUGGCUAGAGAAACAGUACAAAAAAAGGCCUGAUCUUUGGUGAAGGAAAGGGGAUUGUAUUGAAGGAGUUGAUUGGAAUGGUGUUGUAGUAAGAGUUUCUCUAUGCCAUCCUAUGAUAUUCACAUUCAAGAACGCAUUAUUGUUGCUGCAAUGGUUCUUCAUAAUUAUAUUAGAGCACAUGAAGACAAUGACCUUGGACAAGGGCUUUCUAGACAGGGCACAUGUGAAAGUAGUGAGGGAGGUUAUUACGAUGAAAUGACACAUUUAAUCUCUUCUUUAGAUGAACUUAAGAUGAAAGUGGUUCGGAACAAUAUCACAACAUUGAUAUGUGGAAUGCCUCCAUCCUAGGAUUUAAUUUGUUAUUAAUGUUAUAAUUACCAUUCAUAUUA